CACGCAGGCGGUCUGUCAAGUCGGAUGUGAAAUCCCCGGGCUCAACCUGGGAACUGCAUCCGAAACUGGCAGGCUAGAGUCUUGUGGAGGGGGUAGAAUUCCAGGUGUAGCGGUGAAAUGCGUAGAGAUCUGGAGGAAUACCGGUGGCGAAGGCGGCCCCCUGGACAAAGACUGACGCUCAGGUGCGAAAGCGUGGGGAGCAAACA
rnacentral:rRNA from 1 species